UCGGUACAGGAUGGGCCCGCAUCUGAUUAGCUAGUUGGUGAGAUAACAGCCCACCAAGGCGACGAUCAGUAGCCGACCUGAGAGGGUGAUCGGCCACAUUGGGACUGAGACACGGCCCAAACUCCUACGGGAGGCAGCAGUGGGGAAUAUUGCACAAUGGGCGAAAGCCUGAUGCAGCAACGCCGCGUGAAGGAUGAAGGGUUUCGGCUCGUAAACUUCUAUCAAUAGGGAAGAAAGAAAUGACGGUACCUAAAUAAGAAGCCCCGGCUAACUACGUGCCAGCAGCCGCGGUAAUACGUAGGGGGCAAGCGUUAUCCGGAAUUACUGGGUGUAAAGGGAGCGUAGGCGGCAUGGUAAGCCAGAUGUGAAAGCCUUGGGCUUAACCCGAGGAUUGCAUUUGGAACUAUCAAGCUAGAGUACAGGAGAGGAAAGCGGAAUUCCUAGUGUAGCGGUGAAAUGCGUAGAUAUUAGGAAGAACACCAGUGGCGAAGGCGGCUUUCUGGACUGAAACUGACGCUGAGGCUCGAAAGCGUGGGGAGCAAACAGGAUUAGAUACCCUGGUAGUCCACGCCGUAAACGAUGAGUGCUAGGUGUCGGGGAGGA
rnacentral:rRNA from 1 species